CGGACGUGAGGAACCUGCCUCAAAGAGGGGGACAACAGUUGGAAACGACUGCUAAUACCGCAUAAGCCCACAGCUCGGCAUCGAGCAGAGGGAAAAGGAGUGAUCCGCUUUGAGAUGGCCUCGCGUCCGAUUAGCUAGUUGGUGAGGUAAUGGCCCACCAAGGCGACGAUCGGUAGCCGGACUGAGAGGUUGAACGGCCACAUUGGGACUGAGACACGGCCCAG
rnacentral:rRNA from 1 species